ACGGAGGGUGCGAGCGUUAUUCGGAAUUAUUGGGCGUAAAGCGCGCGUAGGCGGGGUGGUAAGUCUGUUGUGAAAGCCCUCGGCUUAACUUGGGAAGUGCCUUGGAAACUGCAUUUCUUGAGUACUCGUGAGGAAGGGGGAAUUUCCGGUGUAGAGGUGAAAUUCGUAGAGAUCGGGAGGAAUACCAGUGGCGUAGGCGCCCUUCUGGACUGUAACUGACGCUGAGACGCGAAAGCGUGGGGAGCAAACAG
rnacentral:rRNA from 1 species